GACGUAGGGCGCGAGCGUUGUCCGGAUUUAUUGGGCGUAAAGAGCUCGUAGGCGGCUUGUCGCGUCGAAUGUGAAAUCUCAGGGCUCAACUCUGACAUUGCAUUCGAUACGGGCAGGCUAGAGUUCGGUAGGGGAGACUGGAAUUCCUGGUGUAGCGGUGAAAUGCGCAGAUAUCAGGAGGAACACCAGUGGCGAAGGCGAGUCUCUGGACAUUUCCUGACGCUGAGGCACGAAAGCCAGGGGAGCAAACGGG
rnacentral:rRNA from 1 species